rnacentral:rRNA from 1 species
UACGGGGGGGGGCAAGCGUUGUUCGGAAUUACUGGGCGUAAAGGGCUCGUAGGCGGCCAACUAAGUCGGAUGUGAAAUCCCGGGGCUCAACCCCGGAACUGCAUUCGAUACUGCUGCGCUAGAGUACUGGAGAGGAGAUUGGAAUUUACGGUGUAGCAGUGAAAUGCGUAGAUAUCGUAAGGAAGACCAGUGGCGAAGGCGGAUCUCUGGACAGUUACUGACACUGAGGCACGAAGGCCAGGGGAGCAAACGGG